CUGAAAGGGUGAUGUGGUGCCCUUGGACAAAAAUAUUAAAUGCUAGUCCGGCCUUCUCACAGGCUGGGCGACACACUCAAAUUGCGGGAAACCCCUAAAGCCUUCACUACCAAGCUGUGUUUCGAAAGGACAUGGUGGCCAGGUUAAUUGCCUCGGGUACGGUCACAACGUGAAGGAUGUUCCAAUGGGCAAUCCGCAGCCAAGCCCCUACGUGUGGUGUCCGUAAUACAGACAUUCCAUAUGGGGAAGGUUCAGAGACUAAAUGGGUGUGGGUGCGUUACUCUCGAAGUGACAAGCUUAAGAUAUAGUCCGGCUUCAGUAGAAAUGCUGGA
rfam:Ajellomyces capsulatus G186AR genomic scaffold supercont2.11, whole genome shotgun sequence.